rnacentral:rRNA from 1 species
UACGUAGGGUGCAAGCGUUGUCCGGAAUUACUGGGCGUAAAGGGCUAGUAGGCGGCCAACUAAGUCAGACGUGAAAUCCCUCAGCUUAACUGGGGAACUGCGUCUGAUACUGGCGAGCUUGAGUGCAGGAGAGGAACGCGGAAUUCCAGGUGUAGCGGUGAAAUGCGUAGAUAUCUGGAGGAACACCGGUGGCGAAGGCGGCGUUCUGGACUGCAACUGACACUGAUGAACGAAAGCCAGGGGAGCAAACGGG